UCCUCAUUGUGCAUGCUGUGUGUGUUUCUGAUUGGUUCACACAGCGCCUGCAAUGUGGAGG
ensembl:miRNA